AGGACACGCUGGCGGCGUGCCUAAUACAUGCAAGUCGAGCGGACCAAAGGGAGCUUGCUCCUGGAGGUCAGCGGCGAACGGGUGAGUAACACGUGGGCAACCUGCCUGUAAGACUGGGAUAACAUCGAGAAAUCGGUGCUAAUACCGGAUAAUAAAAAGAACUGCAUGGUUCUUUUUUGAAAGAUGGUUUCGGCUAUCACUUACAGAUGGGCCCGCGGCGCAUUAGCUAGUUGGUGAGGUAACGGCUCACCAAGGCAACGAUGCGUAGCCGACCUGAGAGGGUGAUCGGCCACACUGGGACUGAGACACGGCCCAGACUCCUACGGGAGGCAGCAGUAGGGAAUCUUCCGCAAUGGACGAAAGUCUGACGGAGCAACGCCGCGUGAGUGAUGAAGGUUUUCGGAUCGUAAAACUCUGUUGUUAGGGAAGAACAAGUGCCGUUCGAAAGGGCGGCACCUUGACGGUACCUAACGAGAAAGCCACGGCUAACUACGUG
rnacentral:rRNA from 1 species